rnacentral:rRNA from 1 species
UACGUAGGGGGCAAGCGUUGUCCGGAUUUAUUGGGCGUAAAGAGCGUGUAGGCGGCCAUACAGGUCAGCUGUGAAAACUCGAGGCUCAACCUCGAGACGUCGGUUGAAACCGUAUGGCUAGAGUCCGGAAGAGGAGAGUGGAAUUCCCGGUGUAGCGGUGAAAUGCGCAGAUAUCGGGAAGAACACCCGUGGCGAAGGCGGCUCUCUGGGACGGUACUGACGCGUGAGA